rnacentral:rRNA from 1 species
GACGAACGCUGGCGGCGUGCUUAACACAUGCAAGUCGAACGGAAAGGCCCUGCUUUUGUGGGGUGCUCGAGUGGCGAACGGGUGAGUGACACGUGAGUAACCUGCCCUUGACUUUGGGAUAACUUCAGGAAACUGGGGCUAAUACCGGAUAGGAGCUCCUGCUGCAUGGUGGGGGUUGGAAAGUUUCGGCGGUUGGGGAUAGACUCGCGGCUUAUCAGCUUGUUGGUGGGGUAGUGGCUUACCAAGGCUUUGACGGGUAGCCGGCCUGAGAGGGUGACCGGCCACAUUGGGACUGAGAUACGGCCCAGACUCCUACGGGAGGCAGCAGUGGGGAAUAUUGCACAAUGGGCGGAAGCCUGAUGCAGCAACGCCGCGUGCGGGAUGACGGCCUUCGGGUUGUAAACCGCUUUCGCCUGUGACGAAGCGUGAGUGACGGUAAUGGGUAAAGAAGCACCGGCUAACUACGUG